AAAAAGAGGGAAAUGUGUAGGAAAGGAGACGACGGAAGACGGCACGUCAACAGCGGGACAGAAGAAGGCACAGCCCCGUUUCCUCUUCUGCUGACGUCCCCUCCCUCUGGCUCCACUUUCCUGCCUACACACCAAAGGACUGAUGCCAGUUACAGUGCAGAGUCAUCAAUACUCCCAGAGAGAAGACUGAGAGGGAGAGGCUGGAUCUAAUCAAUAUGCCGUGGCAAGCAGCGAAGUUUGAUGCCGUGUAUCCCGCAGCGCCUCAACGACACAAUGGUCGUCUCGCAGCAUCAAAGGCCCGCUGGUGACAGGUUCAUGGGGAGGAUAGGGAAAAGAUCAAAUAUUCAUUUUUGAGUCGUAGAAUGCAAAGUUAAUUGAAAUACUGUGAAAGGAGAAAAAAUAAGUGCUUGUGACACUUGUGACAGGGAGUCACUUGAGAGAAUAAACCUUUUGCAUCCUCUUCCCCUCCCCUUCCCUUCUGCGGGAUCAGAUUUUGAAGGUAUUGUUCUCUGUCUUUUAUAUUGUUUAAUAUGCUAGUUUCAACCAUUACAUCAUGCUCUGCAAGACAGAAAAAUUGACGGUUGUAUUAAUCACAGUAGUGAUGAUGAUCAUUUUUCAUAACUUUGCAUGCAUGACCAACACAUGAGCUUUUAACUAUUGAACUUAUUUAC